rnacentral:misc_RNA from 1 species
AAGUCGUAACAAGGUUUCCGUAGGUGAACCUGCGGAAGGAUCAUUAUUGAUUCCAAAGGAAAAGAGCUUUGCAAAAAGCUCUUCUCUUUUCUGUGAACUGGAGUGUUCUUUCUAGUCUCUUUUGGGACAAGGAAGAGCACUUGCAUUCUUUUCUUGUCAUUUUUUUUCUUGCCUUUAAGGUAAAAAAAUCAAAGACAACUUUCAGCAAUGGAUCUCUUGGCUCUU